AACGAACGCCGGCGGCAUGCCUAACACAUGCAAGUCGAACGCUCCGCAAGGGGAGUGGCGAACGGGUGAGUAACGCGUGGGAACCUGCCCAGUAGUUGGGGAUAACCGCGGGAAACUGCGGCUAAUACCGAAUACGCCCUAAGGGGGAAAGGAUUUAUCGCUAGUGGAGGGGCCCGCCGUCGGAUUAGCUGGUUGGUGAGGUAACGGCUCACCAAGGCGACGAUCCGUAGCUGGUCUGAGAGGAUGAUCAGCCACACUGGGACUUAGACACGGCCCAGACUCCUACGGGGAGGGCAGCAGUGGGGAAGUAUUGGACAAUGGGGGCGAACCCUCGAUCCAGCAAUGCCGCGUGAGUGAUGAAGG
rnacentral:rRNA from 1 species